ACCCAUCAAAUUUCUUAUGUAGAAGUGCUUAUGCAGUUUUCAUCAUCAAAAGAAUUCAAUCUGACAUAUCCAAGCAGCAGCUCAUCACAAGCACACAGAAUUCGCAACCAACAGUAAUUUGUCCAAACAAACACGAGCAGAAAUAACAGCUAAAGAAAGCCGGUGGUCUCAUUCACAGCCCCACGGCGGAGCACCAAAACAGGAGGGAGAAGCUUAUGAAGCCGGACAAGCCAAUCCAAUUUACUCUGUGGGCGUCACCUUUAUCUCUUCCAUCACCACCUGCAACUACUACAUGAAUAACGAAGAAUGUCAUGACCACAAGAUUGAUAGAAUAAUUUUUAUGAAUGACUCCAUAAGAUCCCAUAGAAUAAAAUAAAUGAUAUGGCAUGAUUCAUUGCUCCCUAUUUCACUUUUUUAUUUAUUAUAAUGUAAAAAAUCUAUUCAUUUCCUCUACGUCUGAUCCCUGAAACUAUCGAGGUGAAAUAAAAGAAAGAACGUAGACUAUAUUUUAUAAUAACAAUAAAUUCAUAAGUCUUAAUUAUUUGGAAUCAACUAUAUGAAUGUUUUAUUAUCAUUGAAAUUUGUAAAAAGUUAAAUGGAUGAUGGCUCAAUCUGCUUGAGUUGUCAAUCCACAGAUCAACCUCAAACAAAAUAAAUGAUUGCCAAAUUUUUAAUUGAAACAUAGGCAACUCAUGGUUGAUAAAUUAAUGGAUCCAUUAAUACAUGAUUAAUUUACCUGUAGGAGUAUGCAUGGCAGAAGGUGAUGGAGCUGCAAAAAAAACAAAAAAAAAAGAAGAAGAAAGCAGCAAUCAAUUAGCCAGUCAUGUGAUGCAUGCUAAGUUACAAAACAAUUCUAAAGAAAACAAUCAAUUCUCAAUCAACA
rnacentral:lncRNA from 1 species